rnacentral:rRNA from 1 species
CACGCUAACUACGUGCCAGCAGCCGCGGUAAUACGUAGGUGGCAAGCGUUAUCCGGAAUUAUUGGGCGUAAAGCGCGCGUAGGCGGUUUUUUAAGUCUGAUGUGAAAGCCCACGGCUCAACCGUGGAGGGUCAUUGGAAACUGGAAAACUUGAGUGCAGAAGAGGAAAGUGGAAUUAUGUGUAGCGGUGAAAUGCGCAGAGAUAUGGAGGAACACCAGUGGCGAAGGCGACUUUCUGGUCUGUAACUGACGCUGAUGUGCGAAAGCGUGGGGAUCAAACAGGAUUAGAUACCCUGGUAGUCCACGCCGUAAACGAUGAGUGCUAAGUGUUAGGGUUUCCGCCCCUUAGUGCUGCAGCUAACGCAUUAAGCACUCCGCCUGGGGAGUACGACCGCAAGGUUGAAACUCAAAGGAAUUGACGGGGCCCGCACAAGCGGUGGAGCAUGUGGUUUAAUUCGAAGCAACGCAAGAACCUUACCAAAUCUUGACAUCCUUUGACAACUCUAGAGAUAGAGCUUUCCCCUUCGGGGGACAAAGUGACAGGUGGUGCAUGGUUGUCGUCAGCUCGUGUCGUGAGAUGUUGGGUUAAGUCCCGCAACGAGCGCAACCCUUAAGUUAGUUGCCAUCAUUAAGUUGGGCACUCUAAGUUGACUGCCGGUGACAAACCGGAGGAAGGUGGGGAUGACGUCAAAUCAUCAUGCCCCUUAUGAUUUGGGCUACACACGGCUACAAUG